rnacentral:rRNA from 1 species
ACUGGCAGGCUAGAGUCUUGUAGAGGGGGGUAGAAUUCCAGGUGUAGCGGUGAAAUGCGUAGAGAUCUGGAGGAAUACCGGUGGCGAAGGCGGCCCCCUGGACAAAGACUGACGCUCAGGUGCGAAAGCGUGGGGAGCAAACAGGAUUAGAUACCCUGGUAGUCCACGCCGUAAACGAUGUCGAUUUGGAGGUUGUGCCCUUGAGGCGUGGCUUCCGGAGCUAACGCGUUAAAUCGACCGCCUGGGGAGUACGGCCGCAAGGUUAAAACUCAAAUGAAUUGACGGGGGCCCGCACAAGCGGUGGAGCAUGUGGUUUAAUUCGAUGCAACGCGAAGAACCUUACCUGGU